GAUGAACGCUGGCGGCGUGCCUAAUACAUGCAAGUCGAGCGAACAGACGAGGAGCUUGCUCCUCUGACGUUAGCGGCGGACGGGUGAGUAACACGUGGAUAACCUACCUAUAAGACUGGGAUAACUUCGGGAAACCGGAGCUAAUACCGGAUAAUAUAUUGAGCCGCAUGGUUCAAUAGUGAAAGACGGUUUUGCUGUCACUUAUAGAUGGAUCCGCGCCGCAUUAGCUAGUUGGUAAGGUAACGGCUUACCAAGGCAACGAUGCGUAGCCGACCUGAGAGGGUGAUCGGCCACACUGGAACUGAGACACGGUCCAGACUCCUACGGGAGGCAGCAGUAGGGAAUCUUCCGCAAUGGGCGAAGGCCUGACGGAGCAACGCCGCGUGAGUGAUGAAGGUCUUCGGAUCGUAAAACUCUGUUAUUAGGGAAGAACAAAUGUGUAAGUAACUAUGCACGUCUUGACGGUACCUAAUCAGAAAGCCACGGCUAACUACGUG
rnacentral:rRNA from 1 species